UGGGGAAUCUUCCGCAAUGGACGAAAGUCUGACGGAGCAACGCCGCGUGUAUGACGAAGGCCUUCGGGUUGUAAAGUACUGUCUUUGGGGGACGAACGGUAUCUAUGUAAAUAAUGCAGAUACAUGACGGUACCCAAGGAGGAAGCCCCGGCUAACUACGUGCCAGCAGCCGCGGUAAUACGUAGGGGGCGAGCGUUGUCCGGAAUCAUUGGGCGUAAAGGGCGCGUAGGCGGGUCAUUAAGUCUGGUGUGAAAGGCAGGGGCUCAACCCCUGGAAGGCACCGGAACUGGUUAUCUUGAGGACAGGAGAGGAAAGCGGAAUUCCACAGUGUAGCGGUGAAAUGCGUAGAUAUGUGGAGGAACACCAGUGGCGAAGGCGGCUUUCUGGACUGUAACUGACGCUGAGGCGCGAAAGCGUGGGGAGCAAACAGGAUUAGAUACCCUGGUAGUCCACGCCGUAAACGAUGAGUGCUAGGUGUAGAGGGUAUCGACCCCUUCUGUGCCGCAGUUAACACAAUAAGCACUCCGCCUGGGGAGUACGGCCGCAAGGUUGAAACUUAAA
rnacentral:rRNA from 1 species